UCUGGUUGUCAGGCCCUCCCUGUCCUUAAGCAUCACCAUCCGGGCAUUUGGGGGCCCCUUCCUAGAGCCAGAACCAAAGGUCCUCCCGUGAAGGGGAAAAGGCCCUGGACCCAGACUUGGGAGUCCCCAGUUCAAGAUCCAGCUGUGCUCCGGGGCAGACCUGGGCAGGGGCAGGUGGUAUCUCCUUGCCAGGCCUCAGUUUCCCCCAUCGCUUAUACACUGUGUUCCUACUGAGGCUGGGGUGGUAGACAGGAAAAGGGUGAAGCGAACAAGUCUUCAGAGAAUGGGCUCUUUUCCUCUGUCCUGGCCUCCCUGGGGACUGGGAAGGGAUGGAGCCAGUUCUCCAGUCCCUGGAGCUGGUCCCUGAGUCUUCCUGGCAAGGGCAUGGGGGUUAAGGAGGGGGACACAUUGUUCCAACCUCCAACCUCACUCUCAUCCCCCAUUCCCCACAGGCCCAGGGAAGGCGGCUGCUGAGGUUUCAUAUUUUCCCCCUACCGAACUAUUCACCACAGAGCCCAAGUCCAAGAUUUACUAAGCACCUACUAUGUGCCCAGGCCUGUGGAUAUACAGAUGAACAAAGUCCAGCUCCUGCUCACAAAAGGCUUUCUGACUAGCAGUAUGAAUACACCCUACUGAGGAAGAGAGAAGAACAGAGAGCCAGGGAAGACAGUGAAGUUGCUCAGCAUCACACAGCUUGAGGCCAUGACAACGAAAUCAGAAUAAAACCAGUGGCAACAGCUACAAUUUAUGGAGGCCUUACUAUGUGCCCGGCACUGUGCUAGGCCUUAUCUAACUGAAUUCUCCGAAGAACCCCAUGUCCUAUGGUCACACUUAAUGGAUGAGGAAAAUCAGCUGGGAGAGGUUCCGGCACCUGCCCAAGUUCACAGAGAUGACAGAUAGUGAGAGCCAAGAUUUGCUCCCAGGUCUGAGCCAUUAAAGGAGACCAUUCAUGGCCAUCCCACCCCAUCUCAAGAUGGCUCAGGACCCCUGUGUUUUUGAGGUAUUAGCUAUCUGGCCUGUGGGCUUGCUGUCUGGUCAGGUUGGGUCUGGGAGUAGGUACCAGGUCCCAGGACAUUCCUGUUCAGAAUCUGCCCAGAGUGGAGUGGACUCAGGGUCCCUAGAAUACCUCUCCCCCAAACUCAGGUGGCUUUGAGAGACCCAGAUACUCUGAGCUGGGCCCAGUUCUUUAACAGGGGUAGUGAGUACACACAUAUCUACUUUAUUACCCUUUAUAAUUCAUAUGCAUGCAUCACCUAUAUUCUUUUAUGACAGAAAAGGCUAGUAUGGUAAAGUGAAAGGUAGAUGUGGAAUUUAGGUUAACAUUCACUAUGUCAAUAAAAAAUAGAGUCCACUUUAACAAAAAGUAUCAUUAAAGCUGAAGUGUGGAAGUGUCCUUUCUUCCACUGUCUGUUCAUCUACCCAUCUAUCCAUCCAUCACCCCUCCCCACUCCUUCCUUGCUUUCCUCCCUUCUAUCCAUCCAUCCAUCCAUCCAUCCAUCCAUCCAAUAAAUAAGCAUUUCCUCAGCACUCAGUCCCUAUAGCUAUAACUAGGCAACAGAUAAAAAUAAUCAUCUGACGUUCCUGCUCUCAAAGAACUCUCAGUCUAGUUCAGCAAUGAUGUAGCCAGGGCCCAGAGAGGGGAAGUGAUUUGUCCAAGGUCACACAGUGAGUUUAGGAGAGGUGAGGACGGCCCAGGCAGAGGGGCACACUUGGAAAAGGGCUUGGGCCUCCCCACCUCAGAAGCAGUUCCCCUCAGUGACUGCUUUAAAACGGCCUCCCGGCUCUCCAGGAGGGCCUGAAGAGCCUGCCUUACUCCUCUGCUGCUUUCAUUUUUGUUUUUCUUUUGGAAGGGGAAAAGGGGGACAGCUGCUGCCGUCCAGCUGUUUUGCUGGACCACACAGCCCAGCCCAGAUGUGUCAGCCUCUCUGGGAUGGGUGAAAUGGCUCCUGGGCCAAGAACCAGGGGCCAAGGGCCAAGGAAGCUGCGGUGAGGGCUCUGUCCCACGAGAGUUGGGAGAGGAGGCAUGGCGAAGUCAGCAGCAGGGAAGCCCGUAAUUGCCCCAGUUGUCAAGUUGACUUUGCUGGUGACAUGGUAUAUCCAGGCCAUGGAGAUCAGACUCUCUGACAUUCCAAGGAAAUUCAUCCCUUUGACAUAUUUUCUGUGACGGUCAGAGUUCUAGACCAUCUGUUGUGCCUCCCAGCCUCUUCUGAACUAGACGCUCCCACCCUUACCUUCUUCUUGCCCAUCCUGGUCAAGGGUCCUGCCACUUAUUCUGACUUCCCCUCGUCUGUUGAGGGGGUUACACAGUGUUCCAGCCAGAGCAAUGCUCACGGUCUUGACUUAACUCCACCCAAAUCUUCCUCCUCCAUCCUGCCCCCUGGA